rnacentral:rRNA from 1 species
UAAAAUAAUUAAGGGCACACAAAGGAUGCCUAGGUAGUAAGAGCCGAUGAAGGACGUGGUAAGCUGCGAUAAGCCUAGAUAAGUUGCAAUCGAACGUAAGAGUCUAGGAUUUCCGAAUGGAGCAAUCUAUUAAGAUGGAGUCUUAAUACGAAAGAGGGAACCGCGUGAACUGAAACAUCUAAGUAACGCGAGGAAAAGAAAGUAAAAACGAUACCCAAAGUAGCGGCGAGCGAAAUGGGUCAAGCCUAAACCUUAAAUAUGUCAAGGAUACAGCCGUUGUAUUUAAGGGGUUGAGGGACAGAGUGAUGAAGAACUGUAAGAUAUUCAAUAUAGUGUAUUGAUGAAUUAGAAUUGUCUGGAAAGGUGAACCGCAGAAGGUGAAAGUCCUGUAUAAGUAAAUCCUUACACAUAUAACUUUGCUCCCAAGUAACAUGGAACACGAGGAAUUCUGUGUGAAUCAGUGAGGACCAUAUCUCAUAAGGCUAAAUACUCUUACUAACCGAUAGCGCAUAGUACCGUGAGGGAAAGGUGAAAAGAACCCCUGGAGGGGAGUGAAAUAGAACCUGAAAUUGUGUGCUUACAAGCGGUCAGAGCCCAUUUGGGUGAUGGCGUGCCUUUUGGAGAAUGAUCCUGCGAGUUACGUUAAACGGCGAGGUUAAGUAUAACGGAGCCGAAGGGAAACCAAGUCUUAAUAGGGCGAUUUAGUCGUUUGGCGUAGACGCGAAACCUGGUGAUCUAAACCUGUCCAGGAUGAAGCUGUGGUAAGACACAGUGGAGGUCCUAACCCACCGCCGUUGAAAAGUUGGGGGAUGAGGUAGGUUUAGGGGUGAAAAGCCAAUCGAACCAGGAGAUAGCUCGUUCUCUCCGAAAUGCAUCUAGGUGCAGCCUUGAGUGUUCAAUUAUGGGGGUAGAGCACUGAAUGAUCUAGGGGGCAUAUUGCUUACUGAAAUCAAUCAAACUCCGAAUACCAUAAUUUAUAGCUCAGGAGUGAGACUAUGGGAGUUAACUUCCAUUGUCAAAAGGGAAACAACCCAGACCACCAGCUAAGGUCCCUAAUUAUAACUAAGUGGGAAAGGAGGUGGAGAUUCACAAACAACUAGGAGGUUGGCUUAGAAGCAGCCAUACCUUUAAAGAGUGCGUAAUAGCUCACUAGUCGAGAGUCUCUGCGCCGACAAUGUAACGGGGCUAAGUUAUAAACCGAAGCUGUGGAAUCCUUAUGGAUUGGUAGGAGAGCGUUCUGUAGGCCGUUGAAGAAGAAGGGUAACCGACUUUGGAGGUAUCAGAAGUGAGAAUGCAGGAAUAAGUAGCGAGAAAGGGGGCGAGAAUCCCCCUCGCCGGAAGACCAAGGUUUUCAGGGUAAAGCUUGUCUUCCCUGAGUAAGCCGGGACCUAAGCCCAGGCUAUAAUGCGUAGGCGAAUGGAAAACAGAUUAAUAUUUCUGUGCCAGUCAUUUAUUGUGAUGGAGGGACGCAGAAGGGUAUGUGCGCGGACGAUCGGUUGUGUCCGUAGAAGUAUGUAGGGUGACUUAGUAGGUAAAUCCAUUAAGUUAUAUCUGAGGUAUGAUAUACAGUCGUAAGAUGAAUGUGCAAAUCCCACGCUGCCAAGAAAAGCUUCUAACGUUAAUAUAUGACUGCCCGUACUGUAAACCGACACAGGUGGUCAGGAUGAGAAAUCUAAGGCGGACAGGCUAACUCUCGUUAAGGAACUCUGCAAAAUAACCUCGUAACUUCGGGAGAAGAGGAGCCCUUGGGUGUUAGUAUCCACGCGAUACAAAGCGCUCGAGGGUCGCAGUGAAGAGGCUCAAGCAACUGUUUAACAAAAACACAGGUCUAUGCUAAGCUGGAAGGCGAUGUAUAUGGGCUGACACCUGCCCAGUGCUGGAAGGUUAAGAGGAGGAGUGAGAGCUCCGAAUUGAAGCCCCAGUGAACGGCGGCCGUAACUAUAACGGUCCUAAGGUAGCGAAAUUCCUUGUCGGGUAAGUUCCGACC